UACAGAGGGUGCAAGCGUUGUUCGGAAUUAUUGGGCGUAAAGGGCGCGUAGGCUGUGCUGUAAGUCAGGCGUGAAAGCCCCGGGCUCAACCUGGGAAUUGCGCUUGAUACUGCGGCGCUGGAAGGUGGGAGAGGAUGGCGGAAUUCCCAGUGUAGAGGUGAAAUUCGUAGAUAUUGGGAAGAACACCGGUGGCGAAGGCGGCCAUCUGGCCCAUUUUUGACGCUGAGGCGCGAAAGCGUGGGGAGCAAACAGG
rnacentral:rRNA from 1 species